GACCCAAGUCGCCAUUUGAGAGCAGGGGAAGCCGGGUGGGGAGCGGAGGUGAAAGACUCCGGCUCUAUGUGCGGAGUGAGGUCUGACAACAGCCCCUGCCCGCCCCUCUUCUGUGACAAUCAGUGCGACCAUGCGCCUUGCCCCGCCGCCACAGCGCUUCCUGGGGGCUGGGGCUCGCCCUUCUCCUCCGGGAGCAGCUGCGGCGGGACCCCUUUACUCACAGCUGGCUGCUCUGCCUCGCUUCUUUCUGCUCCCUCCGCCUCAGCCUCUUCCGGGAUGCAGGGGCUUUGGCUACUUGCAGGGAGGAGAGGCGAGCUCGGCCUGAGGGAAGUAGCCUGGCAGUGGGGUGUCACACCCGCCCCAGUAGCUGCAGUUUUGGAUGUAGCUGGUGCUGCUUCUGUCAGCGUGAGAGACUAGCUUCCCCUAGCGAGGCUGGGCGCUUUUCGUUCCCUUGCGGUGACCUAUUUGUGGAUGUGUCUGUGCUCAAAUUUGUUUCCAGCCCGUGUAGCAGCAACAUGCAGGAAAACCACCCUCUCAACAGUGUAGAGGCAUCAUCGACCUUCUGAGGAGGACGCAGUGCCUGUGUAGCCACUGCAGGACCUGUGUUGACCCUCCCAGUCUUCCAGCAGCUGGCCCACACUGCCCCAUUCCAUUACACUGACUGCUAGUCACACUUUUAAACUCCACUGCUCAAGGCUCACCGACCAGAAACCACCCUCCUGUCUUUACAACCUCCCCUGUGUUUUUGAAAUGCCUUUUCCUGAUUGCCCACCUUGGCAAGCAUACCUAGCAGCCAGGGGUGAAAGUAACAUAAAACUCUCACCUGUAUGGGGCCUGGCUCUGGGACCCCAGAAGAGGCGGAGCUGGGGGUCAGCUCCACCAGCCAACCCUUCUGCGCCGCCCAGGGCUCCAGCCAUUGCUGUGGGAGCCCCAGGCCCUUUUAAAUCACCAGGCCCCGGAGAGCUGCCCCUUGCCCCCAACACCUUUGGCAGCCCUCCCAGGAGAGUCCUUAAAAUGCUGCCACAGCAGCGCUUUAACAUUGGCUGUGUACGGGCCCAUACCGGUGGCAACUUCUUACCAGUACACCGUACUGGCCCACUUUCACCUCCGCUAGUAGCUCACCCUUGUUGUGUGCAACCGCCCAGCUGACCAUGGCAGCUCCGCGCACUAGUUGUGCUCCUGCCUGGAUCAGACAGGAACUAAUGGUUCUCCUGUGCAUUCACACCUACAGGCCACCUGUAGAAACAUGGACAUUUUACACGUGAGCAGAUUACACAGGCAAAGGGGUAUGACAGGAAUCAGGAGCAGUGCGGUGUGAAAGCAAAGACACUGGCAUCAGGGAAACCACAAGGUGAGGGAGCACAACAGUAGAUCUGGGUGCUUCACCACAGACUUUCGGUUUCUGCAAGGAACUACAUGCCCUGCUUUGCAGAGACCCCACCAGCACACUUCAGACCACUGUGAAUACCUGAAGGACCCUGAGACAGGGACCCCUGCCUUGAACAGCGGGGAGAAGGAAGAGAAGAAGUGGUAGAUUCCAGUCAUGGAAGCCAGGAGCUAUUUGAGACUGCCACAGUCUAGCCAGUGUCACCAGGCAAAUGCAGAUGAGCCUGAUGAAGGGGAAGGGAACUCGGAUUGCAUGCAUGUUUAAUGCACAGCAAUGGGACAUCCUAAAUAUGAAGCUACUAUCAAGGCAGCAAGCUUGAUUUUUCUGGAAUGGAAAAAAAAAUGGAAUAAAGCUGUUUACAUUGGUUCAUCCCAAAAUGUCCUGGAGACUGAGAAACUGAGGCAAACAAGAUCAGAGACACAGGAACUAAGUCUGAGCUGGGAAGAGAAUUCUAAUCCGAGUGAUACAUCAUCUCUAGAACUAGUCACCAAGCUCUGUCUUUCUACUUCCAAGAGGUUUUUCCAGCCCACAUCUAUUGUUCAGCAUAGCUUUAGUUUAUCUGACUGACAACCUCCCUGGUAUGCAGAAUGUCAAUCCCUUUAAAGGCACAGGCAGGUAUCUGAAAGGUAAGAGACUAAAUACGUUCUGCAUAUGUGGAUAUGAUAUGUCUUUUCCAGAGCUAUUAUUUAUGAUUCAUUACAUUACCUAAAUACUUUCAGCUAUUUUCAGACUGGACCUAAAUUCCAGGUUACACCUCCUCCUUGGGCUUUUUACAUAAGGGUAACUUGGCUUUUGCACACAUGGUAAAACAAGCUGAACUGCUUUGCAUAUUUUUUUGUUUCUUCAGCCAGUCUGUCUAACAAGGCCAAGUGCAUACUGCUGACUUAGAUGCUGCACUGCACAAGCUACAUUUUACAUUAGUCCCAUGUCUUCAUGGCCUAGAAGAGGAACUUUGCAGUGGAAGCACUGUGGAAUAAUCAAGUGAGAUAGGCACUGCACACAGCGGUGUGGGGGAAGCUACCAAACUAAAAGCAAAAUUCUCUUUUCAAUUGUCCCAAAGGUGGAGAUACAAAGUACACAAAUCAGGAAACUCUCAAACACAAGGUUGCUCUGCCACGUUGUGCAUCAUGCAUAUUUUACGGUAUACUCUAAGGGCAAAUAAUAAUAAUUGAGGUUUGCAUCACAAGGAGAAAUAUGUGCACCAGAGCCAAGUUCAUGUGGCAACAACCUCAACUCUGGAAUUGCCCCCCUUUUGAGUGAUCAAUCUUAGUGUUCCAUUUUAACGUGCCUUUAGAAGAAAAUCUAGAGUGCUCCCAAUGAGGUAGUUUGUGCAUUACCUUGAAGGUGGAGUUAUUUGAUUUAAAAGGCCAGAUUCUGUCCUUUGCAAAUCUGCUCAGUGCAACACUGGGGUGGUUGUCUGGGAGCUGGCUAUGAUGCUGGCAGACCAAGUGCCAGCUCAUGCCACAGCCCCAGGCCAAUUCACUUGUGUAUUCAUAUAGAUCAAAGCAAUUGUUAAAUGUGUAAGAGUGUAUUUGGUGUUUAAACUUAAUGAAAACUAAUGGAAAGUUGCUUGCAUUGUUUUCACUUUAUGUGUAUCCUGUUAUAAUGCAAUAGCAAACAUUUACAUUGUUCAUACUCCUGUAACUAAAUAACCCAUCAAAUGUGAAAGAAGCCUUGUGGAAUGCAAAGAAGAACUUUAACAGAAAAGUGCUUAUUUCAAAGCAAGUGGCCAUUGUAUGUGAUGACUGGAGGUUAAGGACUCUAAGUGCAUUCCUCACUCACUCUCAUCAAAGGAAAAGUCCAUGUGGAUAAUAUAACUGUCCACUUCUGUUCUGUGAGAAGAAGCUGCAAGUACGGAUUCAAGAAAAGAUCCUUCAUCUCUGGACUGCUUGCACUCUUGAAGGGAAACAUACCAGAAGCAAAGAGGAGAUCCCAAGAGACAAUCUGGGUACCCUGAAAAGACUUCUGGGAAACUGGCAGUUUAUUACAUCAGUGCCACCAUUUUGAAUUAUGAACUGUGACUCACCUGUGCAUAUAUUUUACCUGCUUUAACCUCUCAGUAACUCUCAUUU